GGAAGGCGUGACGAGCUGCCCGGCUGGCCGGCCUGGGGACCCAGAGGCCAUAGGGGUCUGCUCCGCACCCUGUGCAGCAGGCCGCCAGCAGGCUGUUCCAACAUGGCCACCGAGUGGGCCAAACGGGCUGUGACGAGCGUGGCUGGGAUGGGGCCCCGACUCCCCAACAGCCCGGCCUGUGCCCUGCCCCUGCCCGGGUGACUCUGCCCUGCAUGCUGCCCUCGCCUCUGCCUGCCAGCCCUGACCCCAGCACCUCGCCGCCUGACUGCAUUUGGAAAAGGGCUUUUACAGAGGAGCUCGAGUUAAAACGAGGCCUCCAGGGUGGGCCCUGACGCAGCAAGACUGGUGUCCUUUAAGAAGAGGAGCUGGGGCUCAGGGAGGGACGAGGGUGUGCCCUCACAGGACCGCUGCAGCCGCGUGGUGGCCCUUCCACUGCUCACGUGCCGUGCAGCUCUGAGACGGGAGCCCAGGGCCGCCACCGCCCUGGCGGCUCCCUGCGCCUCCCUGCUCCUCUCCAAGCCAGCGGAGACCCGCGCCCCUGGGCACACCUUCCUGGAGCCUUGAGCUCACCCGUAACCGUUGUCCACGAUCUUCUGGACAAAGUCCACGAUCUCUGGCACGUACUCACUAACCCGGUCAGGACGUCCGGAGGGAGGACCUGGGGACAAGGCAAGCCCGGCUCCAGAAGCCUGAGCACCGCUGGGCCCGGUGCCCGCCCCUCCCCAUGCACCACCCCAGCCCCGCUGUCUUUUCAAAAUGAAUUUGCACACGCAAUGAAGAGGGUCUGGAUCCCGAGAGGGCUUCAGUCACGGGCCCUCGGCCCAAGAGACCAAGGUCAAGACCAUCUGCGACACUUACAUUCAGGGCGACACUUACGCUCAGGGCUUCCAUGUCUUUGUGGAACUCCGCCUCCCAGAAUUUGGGCAGUUCAGAGAAAAUAGAAUUGUCCGUCACCUCACUGCCGCAUGGAAUCCAGCCAGUCAGAAAGCACAUCCUUUGCUUCUUCCAGCAACGCCUGAAGAAAAGGAAGCAGGAUGUGUGCACCCGCAUGCAAGUUCCAGGGCCCACGGCGGGCGCGGUCUCUGGCGUCCGUGUCUGCCUCACGCUGCACAGACUGGGCUGCACGGCCAGCACCUGACCGGGAGGAGACCCCAGAGCUCCCACGGAUGGCCUGGCCGUCCAGAGGCUGGAGCUCUGACCACGUGCCUGGAGGGUCAGGGUGGGCCUGGAGAGGCCCAGCACUGCGUCAGGGCUUCCUGGUGCAGGGCAAGAGGGCACGCGGUGUGGUCACCGACGGCCGGGACGCCUGCUGGAGGGGAGGUUCAGAGCAGCAGACGGAGCUGCGAUCCAGAAGCAGGUCUCCGUGCCCAGGCCGCCCUGCCGGGCACGUGCCAUCAGCUGAAGGCCCCACGUCACGACUACAAUGACGCAGCAUCGGAACGAGUCAUGUCCUGUCACGGCGGUCCUCACGCCACACCCAGAAACCGCCAUCUGAGACACGAUGAGACAGCGUCAGGGCUGCGCCCAGCCCCAGCGACCCAGCGGCCCGGCGCUCUGCCCUGGAGGAUCCAGGGCUUCGGCCCUUAGCUAGAGCGGCGAUGGGUAUGCAGACGGGCAGGCAGUCUGUGCUCCAGGUCUGUGCUCCACCUUCGGGGCGCAGGCACAGAACAAGGCGGGAGGGAGGGAGCAGGGACCCUGGAGGGCAGAGGUGGGUGGGGCGGCCCGAGCAGCCCCAGACAGAGCAGAGCUCCUGGGAAACCUCCCAGGACCCAGCUGGUGCCCAGGGCGGGCAGGCAGAGGCGGCAGGGCUCCAGGAGGCAGGCGCUGUCAGGCUGUAGCUGGAAGUGAGCUCUGGGCCUGCCCCACGUGAAGGGGCAGAAAGCCCACCGCUGCCGGCAGGAUCAACACAGAACAAGACAGAGCAGAGGAAGGAGGUCCCAAUCAAACGAACGCCUAGAUUAUUCAUGUGUUUCAAAACACAAGAUCAAAGGGAAAUAAAACCUAUUGAGAAGCAAAAGAAUGUCAAUAUAGAUAGAAGCAGCAAAACUUUACUUAGAGAAAAAUUUAUGGCCUUAAAUGCUUAAACCAAAAAUGAGCUAAACUCCUAAGUGGUGAGAGAAAAGGAGCAGAAUAAACCCAAAGAGAAAAGAAUGAAACAGGUAGCAGAGAUGGGGCAGCGGCUGAUGAAACAGGGACUCGGGCUCCAGCUCCGCCUCCCAGUGAAAGCCGCCAUCCUGUUCCCACAACGACUGAAAGGGUGUCACGCAGAGAGGAGUCAACCACUCCUGGUGGAUCCGUAAGGGAGGACGGAGAAGAGCAUCACAUGAUGAUAAAGGGGCCGACUCUACACGGAGACACCGUGACCCUCGAUACGCACGCACCUCACAGCAGAGCAUCAGACACAGCGGGCAGACACCGACAGAGCUACAGGAAGAACAGAUGGAUCCAGCGCCACGGCUGGAGACUAGUGCACAGAUCCAGAGAAUCAGAGGGAACGCCGAACUCAACACCACCAUCAAUCAACCGGACGUAACUGACACCUGUGAAGAGACUGCUUCACCCACCAACAGGAGGAAGACACAUUCUCCUCCAGUCACGUGGAACAGUUCCCAAGAGAAAGCAGACACUUGGCCACGAAACACACCCAGAGACACUUAGAGCAUCUACCAAGACAGAGGGCCCUCGGCCAUGAAACAUACCAGAGACACUUAAGAGGAACAGAAAUCAAACAGUGUGUGUUAUCAGAUCGCAGUGAAAUUAAACUGGAAGCCUACAACAGAAAGGUAACUGGACUAUCCCCCAAACACACAGAGAUUAAACAACACCUUUCUAAAUAACAUAAUGGCCAAAAAGAUACCUCAAGAAAAAUUUUAAAUACUUAGAACUCAAAGAGAAUGAAAACACAACUUAUCAACAUUCACGGGACGCAGCAAAAGCAGUGUUCAAGAAAUUUGUAACGCAGAAUGCGUUUCUCAGAAGAGAAAGAUACCUGAAAUCAGAUUUUACCUUAAGAAGCUAGAAGAGGACAGUAUCCCUAAUACGGGAACCAAAGACACUACAAGAAAACAGUCUCUCUCACGAACAUAGACUAAAAACCGAUAACAAAAUAUAGCAAGUUGAAUCUACAAAAGCAUAAAGAGAAUCAUAUCCCACAACCAAGCUCAUCACACGCAUGCAAGCCCGGUUCAACUUUAUAAAAUCAAACACUGUAAAUUAUCACCCAACAGAUCAAAAAGAAAACCAUAUGACCAUAUCAGUAUCAGUAUCGUCUCCUAUCAAUGCAGAAAAGCACUAGACAAAAUCCAACAUCCAUUCACGACAAAACCCUCAGUCAACUAGGAAGAGAGGGCGCUCAACUUGACAGAAAACAGCUACAGAAAGCCGCAGUUAGUAUCAGACGAAGGGCGAGAAACGUGACGCCUUCCCAUUCAGAGGAGGUGUAAUGCAAGCGUGUCCUCUCAUCACUCUCCCAACAUCGAACUGGAAGUCCCGCUGAUGCAAUCAGUCAAGAAAAAGGGGAAAAGACACAGAUCUUCAUCAACUCAUGACAGGAUUAUAGAUCCUUCUUAAGUUGAAAAUACCAUUAAGCUGAAGAAUGUAUUUAACACGCUCACCUACCAAACAUCCCAGCUUAGCCUGGUGUGCCUCAGACAAGCUCGGAAUGCACUAGCCACAGCUGGAAACCCACUUAACACCGAUCCUGCUUUGUAAUUAAGAGCUGAAUGCCUCAUGUCAUGCACUGAGUGCUGUACUGAAAGCGAAGACCAAAAUGCGUGUGGGCACAGAGCCACUGCAGGCGUGUGGGCACAGAGCCACUGCAGGCGCGUCAGGGUUUGGUUUUAAUGCACCACUGUUCUUUUAUUUACUUGUUUAUUUAAGGCUGUGCUGGGUCUGAAUUUGGCAAUAAGGAGUUCAUGGUCUGAGCCACAGUCAGCUUCCAGUCUUUUUGCUGACUGUAUAGAGAUUCUCCAUCUUUGGCUGCAAAGAAUAUAAUCAAUCUGAUUUUGGUGUUGACCAUCUGGUGAUGUCCAUGUGUAGAAUCUUCUCUUGUGUUGUUGGAAGAGGGUGUUUGCUAUGACCAGUGUGUUCUCUUGGCAAAACUCUGUUAGUCUUUCCCUGCUUCAUUCCGUAUUCCAAGGCUAAAUUUGCCUGUUACUCCAGGUAUUUCUUGACUUCCUACUUUUGCAUUCCAGUCCCCUAUAAUGAAAAGGACAGCUUUUUGGGGUGUUAGUUCUAGAAGGUCUUGUAGGUUUUCAAAGAACCAUUCAACUUCAUCUUCUUCAGCAUUACUGGUCAUGGCAUAGACUUGGAUUACCGUGAUAUUCAAUGGUUUGCCUUGGAAACGAACACAGAUCAUUCUGUUGUUUUUGAGUUUGCAUCCAAGUACUGCAUUUCAGACUGUUUUGUUGACUAUGAGGGCUACUCUAUUUCUUCUAAGGGAUUCUGGACCACAGUAAUAGAUUUAAUGGUCAUCUGAGUUAAAUUCACCCUUUCCAAUCCAUGUAGUUCGCUGAUGCCUAGAAUGUCGACAUUCACUCUUGCCAUCUCCUGUUUGACCACCUCAAUUUGCCUUGAUUCAUGGACCUAACAUUCCAGGUUCCUAUGCAAUAUUGCUCUUUGCAGAAUCGGACCUUGCUUCCAUCAACAGUCACAUUCACAACUUGGUGUUGAUUUUGCUUUGGCUCCGCCUCCUCACUCUUUCUGGAUUUAUUUCUCCACUGAUCUGCAGUAGCAUAUUGGGCACCUACCGAGCUGGGGAGUUCAUCUUUCAAUGUCUUAUCUUUUGCCUUUCCAUACUGUUCAUGGGGUUCUUAAGGCAAGAAUACUGAAGUGGUUUGCCAUUCCCUUUCCAGUGGACCAUGUUUUGUCGGAACUCUCCACUACGACCCGUCCGUCUUGGGUGGCCCUGUAUGGCAUGGCUCAUAGUUUCAUUGAGUUAGACAAGGCUGUGGUCCAUGAGGUCAGAUUGAUUAGUUUUCUGUGAUUGUGGUUUUCAUUCUGUUGCCCUCUGAUGGAGAAGGAUAAGAAGCUUCUGGAUGGGACAGACUGACUGAGGGGAAACUGGGUCCUGUUCUGAUGGGUGGGGCCAUGCUCAGUAAAUCUUUAAUCUUUUAAUGAUUUUCUGUUGAUGGGCAGGACUGCAUUCCUUCCCUGCUAUUUCAGUCAGUUCAGCUCAGUCGCUCCGUCGUGUCCGACUCUUUGCGACCCCAUGAAUCGCAGCACGCCAGGCCUCCUGUCCAUCACCACCCCGGAGUUCACUCAGACUCACAUCCAUCGAGUCAGUGAUGCCAUCCAGCCAUC
ensembl:lncRNA